rnacentral:lncRNA from 1 species
GAAAGAAUAAUUUACUCAUCUUCAUCGCCCAAAUGCCACCACUUGCCAUGAUCAUUAUCAUCCCGACUUUGCUUUUCCUUCUUCCAUAUCCUGUCCUGUUUGUUCCCAUGGAUGCUUUGCCUUCUCCUGCACAUCUCAUUCAGUUGAGUUGGGUUCCUCUGGAUUCCUCAGAACAGAGUAAGAGACAACUACAUUCAUCAGGUCUUUAGAAAAAUCCUGGCACCCAUUGGGAUCACAUGAGGUGUAAUCUGCAGGGUCAGUAGCUUCGGGAGGACUUGUAGACCAUCUUCUUUACAAGUGAAACAUAUUCCUUAUUAUCCCUUGAGUCGUUGGGUUCAUAGAGGGCGGAGCCAAAUCAAGCAAUGGUGAAAAGAUCUGUCGAGAUAAAGGUGCACAGCGGCAGUCAUUUAGGAGUUAAUUUUCUAAUGAGAAGGGGCAGACAUAACCUGUUUCAGGUGAAAAGGAGAAAUUAAAUUGUGUUUUUUUGAUCUUAGAGGCUGCCUAAUUGACACUCUCAUCAGUCACCAAUAAAAGGGAAGGCGUGGCAGAAGACUCGAGGAUGUCAGAAAGAAGCACAACCUGAGUAGAGGUGAGGCAGAGACCAGGGUUGCCCAAGGUCAUGGCAAGAGACGAGGUGGAGGGAGCCCUCCCUUUCUGACUGCUGGCUCAGUGGUCAGUCCACGCUGACCAAAAGAGGCUGCUUGUACUAUGCAAGUAAAAUAUGAACGCCCAGGUUGUUGGGGAGCAAGAAGACACUCCGAAUACGAGGUGGAAAGGGGGAGCCGGGAGCAGGAGAAACCGGACUUCCCUUUUAUGUGUUGCUUCAUGCCUCUGCUGGUGAACAGAAGGAGGAGAGAGAAAUGGCUGACUCCAAACCCACAGUUCCUGCCCUGGAGGUUUGUUUUGAUGUCUGAGGCGAAGAGAUCUUCCCAGGAGGAGGCCGAGGGAACACUCAGGCGUCCUUUCUCACUUGAGAUCUUCAACACCACCAAGUUGAGAGCUGGAAGGUGCGAGGGAAUUGCAACCAAACUCUUCUGUUCACGUUGUGGGAGAGGGGACCCGUGUCCCAGCUGUGUGAUGACCAUGACAGGAAAGUGAUGGGGAAUGGACUCCUUGAUCACCGCUCCACCAACCUCACUUGCCUGCAGCCUCGGAUUUUUCUGUUUCUCAGGAGCAAAAAGACUCAAAGUUGUGACAACAAAGACCUUUUUCUGGAGUGGUUAUUCUGUUGCUAAGUCAUGUCCGACUCUUUGCGACCCCGUAAACUGCAGCACACCAGGCUCCCCUGUCCUGCACUAUCUCCCAGAGCUAGCUCACACUCAUGUCCAUUGAGUCAGUGAU